UAAGAAUUUAAAAGUCGAACAGACUUAUUCUUAAGAAUACUACUUCUUAAAAUUUUCUUAAUUCAACAUCGAGGUCGCAAAAUACAAUAUAGAUAUGAACUCCCCAUUAAAAUUACGCUGUUAUCCCUAAGGUAACUUAGUCUUAUUUCCUAUUAUUUAAGGAUCUAAAAUAACAUACAUAAAUGAACUUUAAAACUAAAGUUAGAUUUAUUUAGCUACCACCCCAGCAAAAUAUAAAAUUAACAUUAAAAAAUAUUAAAAUAAAACUCAAUAAUAUAAACCCAUAUAAAGUUCUAUAGGGUCUUAUCGUCCCAAUAAGUCAUUAAAGCAUUUUAACUUUAAAUUUAAAUUUUAACAUUUUAAAAAAAUAAAAUAUAAUUCUCAUACAUCCAUUCAUUCAAGCUUCCAAUUAAGAAACUAAUUACUAUGCUACCUUUGCACAGUCAAAAUACUGCAGCCAUUUAGAAACUUAAAAAACCAUAGGGCAGAAGAUACUUUUUAUAUAAACA
rnacentral:rRNA from 1 species